rnacentral:rRNA from 1 species
UACGGAGGGUGCGAGCGUUGUCCGGAAUCACUGGGCGUAAAGGGCGCGUAGGCGGCCUGAUAAGUAGGGGGUGAAAUCCUGCGGCUUAACCGCAGGGCUGCCUUCUAAACUGUCAGGCUAGAGCACAGUAGAGGCAGGUGGAAUUCCCGGUGUAGCGGUGGAAUGCGUAGAGAUCGGGAAGAACAUCAGUGGCGAAGGCGGCCUGCUGGGCUGACACUGACGCUGAGGCGCGAAAGCCAGGGGAGCAAACGGG